rnacentral:rRNA from 1 species
CCUACGGGUGGCAGCAGUAGGGAAUCUUCCGCAAUGGGCGCAAGCCUGAUGGAGCAACACCGCGUGAGUGAAGAAGGGUUUCGGCUCGUAAACCUCUGUUGUUGGAGAAGAACGUUCGUGAGAAUAACCGUUAACGCAGUGACGGUAUCCACCAAGAAAGUACCGGCUAACUACGUGCCAGCAGCCGCGGUAAUACGUAGGUGGCAAGCGUUACCCGGAUUUAUUGGGCGUAAAGCGAGCGCAGGCGGUUGCUUAGGUCUGAUGUGAAAGCCUUAGGCUUAACCGAAGAAGUGCAUCGGAAACCGGGCGACUUGAGUGCAGAAGAGGACAGUGGAACUCCAGGUGUAGGGGUGGAAUGCGUAGAUAUAUGGAAGAACACCAGUGGCGAAGGCGGCGGUCUGG